AGUGAACGCUGGCGGUAGGCCUAACACAUGCAAGUCGAACGGCAGCACAGGAGAGCUUGCUCUCUGGGUGGCGAGUGGCGGACGGGUGAGGAAUACAUCGGAAUCUACUCUGUCGUGGGGGAUAACGUAGGGAAACUUACGCUAAUACCGCAUACGACCUACGGGUGAAAGCAGGGGAUCUUCGGACCUUGCGCGAGUGAAUGAGCCGAUGUCGGAUUAGCUAGUUGGCGGGGUAAAGGCCCACCAAGGCGACGAUCGGUAGCUGGUCUGAGAGGAAGAUCAGCCACACUGGAACGGUGACACGGUCCGGACGCCUACGGGAGGCGUCAGUGGGGAAUAUUGGAGAAGCGGCGCAAGCCUGAUCCAGCCAUACCGCGGGGGUGAAGAAGGCCUUCGGGUUGUAAAGCCCUUUUGUUGGGAAAGAAAUCCAGCUGGCUAAUACCCGGUUGGGAUGACGGUACCCAAAGAAUAAGCACCGGCUAACUUUGUGCCAGCCGCCGCAGUAA
rnacentral:rRNA from 1 species